rnacentral:rRNA from 1 species
CCUACGGGUGGCUGCAGUAAGGAAUAUUGGUCAAUGGAGGAAACUCUGAACCAGCCAUCCCGCGUGAAGGAUGAAGGGGCUCUGCCUUGUAAACUUCUUUUGUCUGGGGCGAAAAAGCUCGAUUUAUCGAGAACUGACGGUACCAGAAGAAUAAGCACCGGCUAACUCCGUGCCAGCAGCCUCGGUAAUACUGAGGGUGCAAGCGUUAUCCGGAAUCAAGGGUGUGUAGGGGUCUUUGGAAGGCAGUGGUGAACGGCUGUGGCUUAACCAUGGAAUUGCCAUUGAUACUGCAGAGCUUGAAUGAGGUUGAGGUUGGCGGAAUGUGACAUGUAGCGGUGAAAUGCUUAGAUAUGUCAUGGAACACCGAUUGCGAAGGCAGCUGACUGGACCUAUAUUGACGCUGAGGCACGAAAGCGUGGGGAGCGAACAGGAUUAGAUACCCCUGUAGUC